AUGAUCUUUCUGUUUUCAUUUCAUAAUCACACCAGACCAAACUUGGGUAAAGAACGAGGUUUCUCCUAAUGUGUCAAACAUGUUUGAUGCCCUGAUGCUCUUCUUGUUUUAACAAUGUGGGCGUGCAGCGUGCGUGUUGAAAAGAUCUGAGUUUUGGUUAUUCAUUGCUGUAUAUCGCCAAGAACAUGCCUGACUGCAAUGUGAUCAUUUUAUGUUGUCUUAAAAUACAUUUAUUUGUUACUUUGCGUUUUUAUUACGCGUUCAAUUUUUCUGGAACGUCGAGAAUAUCAUCUACACCUCUGACUAAAUAAAAGCACAAACUUUGUAAUUCUCUUCUUUUAAUGCCACCCUCACUUCAUCCAGAUGUGUUUCUUUCUUUCGUUUUCCGGCGUUCUCAUGGUGGGCAGGUGGGCAGGUGCUUGAGGGCGCCCCGCCCCGUCCCGGUGUUCAGUGCAGACCACCCCUACGCCCUUAAAUUGGUCACGCGCCAUCUCUUUCUUCACCGACUGCUCGUCGAGCGGGCCCAUCCGGUUCCUCAUAAUCGCUUUGUCCUCCCAUUAUCACCUUCUUUGCCAUGCGCGGGACGCGUGACAUUUUGAGCAUGACGCACGAACGCAUGGACCGAGAGCGACAACAAAUGGAAAUUCAAGAGCAACUAAGACCGUUCUGGUGAUCCACGGCGGGGCACAUGACGCAAUGGCCAGCAUGGUGAUCACGGGCCUGCACGCUGCUUUGGGCUCGUUUGGUUGGGCUUCGCCAUGGUCGCCUUCUCCGCCCCCAUAGCGCGGCCGCCGCUCGUCUUCGCGGCCGACCACCCGUUCGCACUCCGAUUGCACUCGCGACCAGUUACCUUAUUCAUCGGCAGCGUCAGCUCCCCGUCACCAGCCUAGUUUGAAUCUAGAACGUGAUAUUUUUAAGAAAAAUAAAAUAUGGACUUUGCAGUUGUAAAUAACACUGUGUCAGCCAAUAAAUUUCGUCGUUCUGACUAGAA